AUGGCGGCGGAGGGAGCGGAGCUUGGUUCCCCGGCGCCGGCGCAGCCGCCGGCACCGAAGCGGCGGAAGAUCGAACCGUCUCGGAGGAGCAGACCUCCUUCUCAAACUGCUAUUGAUAAGGACAAAGUGGUGGCAUCAUCCAAUUCAUCGGUUUCAGGUACACCGCUAGCAAGAGUGGAUCUCAACAAAGUUAGAGAGGCAAAGAGAUUUGCUGUCCUUCAAGCACAGCACGAGGGAUGCCUGGGAAGCUUCAAAAGCUUUGAUUCUCUGUUUGGAAAUUAUAUUGUUCCUGUUACCCCAAGUGAUGACUUCUUCGAGCAAAUUGCAAAGAAGUGA
rnacentral:rRNA from 1 species